AAAUUCCCACUGAUUUUUCUUUGCUUUCCAUGUCUGAGUGGAACUCCUGGUGAAUUGUAGCCAAGUUGUCUUCAGGGUUCACCGACAUGGUAAAUACUGUUGGGGAAUGGAGAAAGGGGAUGAAGUGGCUGGACAUCAGAACAGGAAACACUGGGGAAAAGAGGUACAGGAAUGUGCAGAGGCAAAUGAGGGCAGGAGAGUGUGAAAAAAUGUCAGUGUGGGUAAAAUGCUUGGUCUGUCCUCUGUCACCCACAGUCCUGAGCUCAUACCCAGAGAAUCAGAGAGUGGUUGUGGCUGGAAGGAACCUCUGGAUGUGACCUUGUCCAACCCCCUGCUCAGGCAGGUCACCUGGAGCAGGCUGCCCGUGGCAGGACCAUCCACAGUCAGGUUUUGAAUCCCUGCAAGGAUAUCUCCAAAGCAGCUCCAAAAUCCUUCAGAAGGGAGAUUUCUCCAGAGAGGCUUUGUAAGACCUGCUGGACCACAGAAAGUCCAGGAUGUGUAUCUUAGCUGAGGGAUGGAAGGGGGCAGAAUUCCUAAAUAAACAUAGCAAAAAAUGCCUGUAGGGAAGAAAGUGAGGAAAGCAGGUGUAAAUGCAGACAUCUGUUAGGUCUGGUUGUACUUUCAAAUAAGCUUCUCCUGUUAACAGGAAUUCUUAGACCUUGGAAAGUGUCUGAAACAUGCAGUUGAAUUCAGAAAUUCUUGUAUCUGCUGGAAUCAAAGGUGGGAAGCAUUAUAUUUGUUUCUUAAAUGUGCUGUAGAAACAAUAUUAAGAGAGAUGACAACUAUUCCUCUCCAAUGUCUUUUGAUAAGGUCAGCGUGAGCUUAUUCUUAAUUUGCUUCUGCUGAGGAGUAUUUUGGAGUUCUCAAAAUUUGGGUUUUAUGUGUCAUGUGUAGCCAUCACUUACCUUAAGUCAAGCAGCUGCUUUUAUAUCUUGUUUUUCUGUCUCUUGCUAGCUCUGUGCCUGGUAUGGGACAUCUUGCUGCAAUCCUCCUGCUUUGGAUGUGCCAGUUAUGUAAACAGAGAGUGGGGAUAGGUGUAGCUUCCUCUGGACUGAAAGUGGUGCUGGCAGCAGAGAAAGACUUGGGCUGAAGUAAUUUCCUUUCAUUAGAAUAAAAAUCUGAAAAUAAAAGUCUGAACUGCAUCUAGAGUAUUUCUCCUGACUGCUGAGAAGAAAAGUUUCCAAGGGCUCAAGGUUUUUUUCAGCAGCACCCAGAAGUCUGGCACCUUACCCUAGCCUUAGUUUUGUGGUUUCCUUCCUCUGGUCCCCUUGGUUAUCUGCAUUGGCACAGAGCCCGGGUUCUGCUUCCCUUCCUCCCUGCACACCUUCGUGUCCCCAGCCACUGGAUCCUGCAAAGGCAAGUCUUAAUUCUUCACACUUCAUUUUUUGUCAUUUGCAGCUUCUCAGGGGCGCCCUUUGCAGGCUGCUGUGCUCAGCCCUCGCUGCUUUGCCUUCAGCUUGGCCUGUGGUUUUUGGUUUCCUCCCUUUUUUUUGUUGUUUUUUGCUUUUAUGGCUACUCUCAAGUGCUCGAAGAGCUGCUGACAGCCCAUGGAAAACUCAGCAAACAUUCCAUACAGACCACUUGCUUUACCAUCCUUUCCUGUGCCACGUUCAUUUUUACUGGGGAUGGCUGAGAAAGCAGGACUUUUGGGCUUUGACUGAUCUGCUUGUGCUGCUUUCAGACAACAUGCAGGUCUGGACCUACCUGCUCUUGCUGGGGCAGCAUUUCUGCUGCAUCUCACCCAGCCUUUUAGUUGGAUGACUGCUUCCAUUGGUUCCUCACCAAGAACUUGCUAUUCAAUCAGCUGUACAAGCCAAGCCCAACUGCUUCCAGCUUUCCCUGGUUCUCUUUCUCACCCCAGCUUAUCUAGACAGCUAAUCCCUGUCUUUAAAUUCAGCUGCUUCGUUUUUAUGGUUCCCACUGGCUAUUUGUUCCUUUUAUCCCUUGUUUUGAGAGGUCUGGCAGCAAAGCCUCAGAUGUUUCAUCACUCAGAUGAUUGAGGAUUUUGCCUGAUAGGUAAACAGUGAUUUUGUAGGGAGGUGAGGGGCAUCUUCUUACAUGAGCAUUGCUUGGUACUUGCCCAGCUCCACCUCUAGGUAGUGUUAAGCACUUUACUGCAAACCACAGUUAAAGGCAUUUUGCAGUUCAGAAAAAGGUGACCUAAAAAGUUGCCCCUGCCCUAUGUCAGGCUACCUUGUGUGACAAGCCAGAAGAGGGGGCUUCUUUCCUUCUUCAGGAGUUUCAGAACUCAUCUUUCAUUAGGAAGUUUUGCUAAGUUCUCUUUAGCUGCAGUUGUCACAAGCAGCUCAGUGUGGCCUCAGGCAAAGACAGCAUGUGAACAACAGAGCCAACUUUUUAGAUCCUUCCAAAUACUCUGGGAGGUCAUUUUCAAGAGCUUGCUCAGCAUCUGUGUUGAGUAGGGUGAGGUCAGCAAUCUGGAAGUUUUGGAAAUCUUGCCCCUGAUUUCCUGGAACCACACCAGGUGCAGGUACUUGUGGAUGCUUGAUUUGGCCACACAGCUGUGAAUCCCCGAAGUACCUUGCUUUAAGGUGCAGAGAUGUCCCUUUAUGUCACUUCAUGUUAGCACAAAAAUAGCCUGAAGCACAAGAAGGCAGUGCAAAGGUGCACU